rnacentral:rRNA from 1 species
UUCGCAAUGCCCGAAAGGGUGACGAGGCGACGCCGCGUGUGGGAAGGAGGCCUUCGGGUUGUAAACCACUGUCAGGAGUUAAGAAAUGUAAGGGUGCUAAUAGUAUCCUUACUUGACUAAGGCUCCAGAGGAAGCCACGGCUAACUCUGUGCCAGCAGCCGCGGUAAUACAGAGGUGGCAAGCGUUGUUCGGAAUUAUUGGGCGUAAAGAGCACGUAGGCGGUUCUGCAAGUCGGCUGUGAAAGCCUUCCGCUCAACGGAAGAACAGCAGUUGAUACUACAGGACUGGAAUGCGGGAGGGGAGAGUGGAACUUCUGGUGGAGCGGUGAAAUGCGUAGAUAUCAGAAGGAACGCCGGCGGCGAAAGCGACUCUCUGGCCCGUAACUGACGCUGAGUGUGCGAAAGCUAGGGGAGCAAACGGGAUUAGAUACCCCGGUAGUCCUAGCCGUAAACGAUGGGCACUAAGUAGAGGGGUUUU